UCUUCCUUUAAAGCAGGACUGGUGUCCUGUAGAGAUUAGCUCCAACCCUAAUCAAGCACACCUGAACCAGCUAAUCAAGCUCUUACCAAGCACACUUGACACAUCCAAGCAGUUGUGUUGAGGCAAGUUGAAGCUAAACUCUGCAGGACACGGCUCGCCGAGAUAGUGAGGAAAUGCUACAUUUCUCUAAUUCUGUUUGAAUGAAGAAAAAAACAGAUCUUGGAUGGCCCGAGGGAAACGGACUCUUUGUGAUGUGACCAUUGCUGAGAUGCCUUGAAAAGAUCAGUGAUGUUGUGAAUGCCUAAAAUAACUGUAUUUUGAUUGUACUGAGAUAAGUAUGAAGUUUUUAUCAAAGUUCACAUAGUACAGCAGUUCCUCCUCCUGCAGUGCAAGGGUGGAGCGCAGUUCUUGGAUCAGUUCCAACCGUUUCUCUCUUCCCUCGAACAUCUGUCAACCAUCAGACUUCAUCCUUUCACAUCGACAACAACAUCGCCAUUGGUUAGAAAACCAGGCUCCGCCCACUGAGCCUUACCUGAAUCUGCACGGAUCUUCCUCUGAGCACUUUCUGCAGAAAGAUAAUGACCUGUUCCUUUUCCUCAUGUCCCUGUUAUGGACAGAACACUCAUAUCUCAGAAUGAUCGAUGUGUCAUACAAAAAGAAUUCCAAAAUAAAUGAUUCCGUGGAAGUCAAUGUUUAUCAUA